AACGAACGCUGGCGGCAUGCCUAACACAUGCAAGUCGAACGAGACCUUCGGGUCUAGUGGCGCACGUGUGCGUAACGCGUGGGAACCUGCCCUUAGGUUCGGAAUAACUCCCCGAAAGGGGUGCUAAUACCGGAUAAUGUCUUCGGACCAAAGAUUUAUCGCCUUUGGAUGGGCCCGCGUUGGAUUCGCUAGUUGGUAGGGUAAAAGCCUACCAAGGCGACGAUCCAUAGCUGGUCUGAGAGGAUGAUCAGCCACACUGGGACUGAGGCACGGCCCAGACUGCUACGGGAGGCAGCAGUGGGGAAUAUUGGACAAGGGGCGAAAGCCUGAUCCAGCAAUGCCGCGUGAGUGAUGAAGGGCUUAGGGUUGUAAAGCUCUUUUACCCGGGAUGAGAAUGACAGUACCGGGAGAAGAAGCUCCGGCUAACUCCGUG
rnacentral:rRNA from 1 species